UACGUAGGCAGCGAGCGUUGUUCGGAAUUACUGGGCGUAAAGCGUGCGUAGGCGGUGCCAUAAGUUCGGUGUGAAAUCUCCCGGCUCAACUGGGAGGGUGCGCCGGAAACUGUGGUGCUUGAGUGCAGGAGAGGUAAGCGGAAUUCCUGGUGUAGCGGUGAAAUGCGUAGAUAUCAGGAGGAACACCUGCGGUGUAGACGGCUUACUGGACUGUGACUGACGCUGAGGCACGAAAGUGUGGGGAGCAAACAGG
rnacentral:rRNA from 1 species